AAUUCCGUUUUUUGAGAAGUACACUUUAAAUACUGCUAAGCGAGAUGACUUUCAAAAAUUUGUCAGGAUAUUAAACCUGAUAAAAGUAGGGAAGCAUUUAAGUAAAGCUGGUAUGACAAAGAUCGCGAAAAUAAUCCAGAGCAUGAAUAGAAGAGUACCAUCACGAUUUCUGGAAUCCUCAGAGACUACAUGCUGGAUUUCGCCAAAAGCGAAAAAGAUAUAGUCCGAUCUGCAUGGCGACAUGCAG
rnacentral:autocatalytically_spliced_intron from 4 species